rnacentral:lncRNA from 1 species
UCGGAUGUCUGAUUGAGUCCCGUCAUAUAUCGAGACGCUCGAAAUUGAAUGUCGAAGCUCUGAGCCAACUCAAACGACAAUAACUUUUUACUCGGAUGUCUGAUUGAGUCCCGUAACAUAUCGAGACGCUCGAAAUUGAAUGUUGAAGCUCUCAGCCAAUUCAAACGACAAUAACUUUUUACUCGGAUGUCUGAUUGAGUCCCGU